CCUACGGGUGGCAGCAGUGGGGGAUAUUGCACAAUGGGGGAAACCCUGAUGCAGCGACGCCGCGUGGGUGAAGAAGCGCCUCGGCGCGUAAAGCCCUGUCAGCAGGGAAGAAAAUGACGGUACCUGAAGCAGAAGCCCCGGCUAACUACGUGCCAGCAGCCGCGGUAAUAAGGAGGGGGCAAGCGUUAGCCGGAUCUACUGGGGGUAAAGGGGUCGCAGAAGGCGAUGCAAGCACAGAGGGAAAGCCCUGGGCCGAACCCCGGGACUGCUCUUGGAAGUGCGUGGCUAGAGUGCAGGAGGGCCAGGCGGAAUUCCUGGUGUAGCGGUGAAAUGCGUAGAUAUCAGGAGGAACACCGGUGGCGAAGGCGGCCUGCUGGACUGCAACUGACGUUGAGGCCCGAAAGCGUGGGGAGCAAACAGGAUUAGAUACCCCAGUAGUC
rnacentral:rRNA from 1 species